rnacentral:tRNA from 1 species
GCCCCUAUCGUCUAGCCCGGUCAGGACAUGGCCCUUUCAAGGCUAAAACACGGGUUCGAAUCCCGUUGGGGGCA